rnacentral:rRNA from 1 species
CUACGGGAGGCAGCAGUGGGGAAUCUUGCGCAAUGGGCGAAAGCCUGACGCAGCGACGCCGCGUGAGUGAUGAAGGCCUUCGGGUUGUAAAGCUCUGUGGGGAGAGACGAAUAAGUGCAGCCUAAUACGUUGCAUGAUGACGGUAUCUCCUUAGCAAGCACCGGCUAACUCUGUGCCAGCAGCCGCGGUAAGACAGAGGGUGCAAACGUUGUUCGGAAUUACUGGGCGUAAAGCGUGUGUAGGCGGUCCGAUAAGUCGGGUGUGAAAGCCCUGGGCUCAACCCAGGAAGUGCACUCGAAACUGCCGGGCUAGAGUAUCGGAGAGGUUGGUGGAAUUCUCGGUGUAGAGGUGAAAUUCGUAGAUAUCGAGAGGAACACCGGUGGCGAAGGCGGCCAACUGGACGAAUACUGACGCUGAGACACGAAAGCGUGGGGAGCAAACAGGAUUAGAUACCCUUGUAGUCC